rnacentral:sRNA from 1 species
AGGGUGGAGUCAGUGGAUCUGGCUGGCCAGGAACUUGUCCCCUUCCUCCCCCGAGCCCUGUGUGUGUCCUGGCCCAAGCUGCAUGCUGAAUCCAAGAGGACAACCUUCCCUGAUAGAAGAGGACUGGUUUUUGGCCAACCUGUAUGCGUACCUGCAGCUCCCAAACCAGUUCUUGAGAGGGCUGAAGCAGGGAAUGGUGGCCCAUGCCUGUAAUACCAGUGCUCAGGAGGCUGAGGCAGGAGGAUCUUAGGGAGUUUAAGGCCAGCCUGGGCUACAUAGUGACUUCAAGUCCAGCCUGAACUACUGUACAUU